AAUGGUAGCUACAACAACAGGGUGGAAAGAGAAAAGAAGCAACUCCUUGGUACACCCUUUCCGUGCCUCUCAGAACAACUUACUCAGUGUUUUAUUAGCUUGUUGUAUUUUUUUGUAGGCUACCCGGAAACCUGGAAGACCUUCAUCCCCUCUUCUCUAAAGAACUCUUGGGGUGCCUCGGUGGCUCAGUCAGUUAAGCAUCCUUCAGCUCAGGAAAGAGUUACUAUAAAACCACCAUUUCUGUCGCUGCCUUGCACCCCAAUCAGGACGAGCCGUCUUCCGUUGUGCAAAGCACAUGCAAGAUGUCAACUCUUCCCUCCAAACAUCCAACUCAGGGAGGUAGUAACUCCAAAGUUCACACUUACAUAUCCCAGAGUAGCAUAUUGGUUUUGUCCUUCUCUCUUUGGGGUCUUUUUUAUAAUAUAGCUGUCAACAUGAAAAGAAGAAAGUCGGCACUGUGCCAGUGAGCUCAAAGAGCUCCCUGAUAGAGACAAUGGUUUCUGAGCACAUGCUGCAACACUAUGAAAAGGGGUGAAAAAUAUCAAGUCACAGAUGUUUGUCUGCUACAUGGAAAGAAAGCAGAGAUGGGAGGACCCAUCAAGGUUUGAAUCUUAAUUUGCUAUUUCUUUAACAUUCAUGUCCCUACUUGACCCUACAUGUGCCUUAUUCUCUGACCUCACCACCUCCUUGCUCAUUCGAUGCUCUGCAUGCCACAAGCUUAUCAGCCUUAAUGCCUUUGUACUUAUUAUUUCCUCUGCCUCUCCCCAAAAUCUUUGCAUGGAAGAUUCCUUCUUGUCAUUUAGUUUUAACCUCAAUGUCACCGCUUCGGAGAUACCUUCUCUGACCUUACAUUGCAAGUGAGAGCCCCUCUCCACUGAAACUUCUCCCACAAACAGGCAUGAUCACAUUGUCUGGUUGUGUUUUGUUUAUACCCUCUAACCCUUGUACCAUUUAAUAAAUUCCUGCCUAACAUUGA